rnacentral:rRNA from 1 species
GGCGCACGGGUGAGUAACGCGUGGGUAAUCUACCCCUCGGUCAGGAAUAACCCGCCGAAAGGCGGGCUAAUACCCGAUAACACUGACGCUCUGCGGAGUGUCUUUCAAAGAAGGCCUCUGUUUACAAGCUUUCGCCGGAGGAUGAGCCCGCGUACCAUUAGCUAGUUGGCAGGGUAAUGGCCUACCAAGGCAACGAUGGUUAGCUGGUCUGAGAGGAUGACCAGCCACACUGGGACUGAGACACGGUCCAGACUCCUACGGGAGGCAGCAGUGAGGAAUCUUGCGCAAUGGGGGAAACCCUGACGCAGCAACGCCGCGUGAGUGAGGAAGGCUUUCGGGUCGUAAAGCUCUGUCAGAUGGAAAGAAAUGGUUGAAGGUUAAUACCCUUCAUCCUUGACGGUACCAUCAGAGGAAGCACCGGCUAACUCCGUGCCAGCAGCCGCGGUAAUACGGGGGGUGCAAGCGUUGUUCGGAAUCAUUGGGCGUAAAGCGCGCGCA